CAACUAGUCUUCUAAAUUAGAACUUAAACACAAUGACCAGAUAUGACCCUGCAACAGAGCAUGCCCUUCUGCAUUGAGCAUGCAAUCAUGAAUCACAGGCUCUACUGACCAAGAACAAAUCACAGACUCAGAGAGCAUCAUAAAAAGGCCUAGACCCACGAUGCCCAGAGACUCCAGGCUCAACCCACAUUGAUGCUGGCCCUUCAGCCAUGAGACUCCAUUUGCUUCUCCUUAUUCUCCUUCUUUUUUCAAUUCUCUUAUCCCCAGAACAGAUGUCUGCAACAUAGUAGAAGAUCAAAUUGGUGCCUGCCGAAGAAGGAUGAAGUGCUGUAGAGCAUGGUGGAUUUUAAUGCCAAUUCCAACACCACUUAUCAUGUCAGAUUAUCAAGAACCCCUUAAACCUAACUUGAAAUGAAACUGAAACAAAAUAAAAAUACAUCAAAAGUGAAGUUAUUUGCAUCUAAGAAUAUUAAAAUAUACAUAUUAAGUACUUCCAUCUUGAUAACCGUCUUGCAUUUUCACUUAUCAACAUAAAUGAAUAAAUACUAAUUUCAAAUACA